rnacentral:piRNA from 1 species
UCCGACACGUGCGAAGGGGCGGCCACC